rnacentral:rRNA from 1 species
UGGGGAAUUUUGGUCAAUGGGCGCAAGCCUGAUCCAGCCAUGCCGCGUGCAGGAUGAAGGCCUUCGGGUUGUAAACUGCUUUUGUACGGAACGAAAAGCCCCCUUCUAAUAAAGGGGGUGAUGACGGUACCGUAAGAAUAAGCACCGGCUAACUACGUGCCAGCAGCCGCGGUAAUACGUAGGGUGCAAGCGUUAAUCGGAAUUACUGGGCGUAAAGCGUGCGCAGGCGGUUAUGUAAGACAGAGGUGAAAUCCCCGGGCUCAACCUGGGAACUGCCUUUGUGACUGCAUAGCUUGAGUGCGGCAGAGGGGGAUGGAAUUCCGCGUGUAGCAGUGAAAUGCGUAGAUAUGCGGAGGAACACCGAUGGCGAAGGCAAUCCCCUGGGCCUGCACUGACGCUCAUGCACGAAAGCUGGGGAGCAAACAGGAUUAGAAACCCUAGUAG